GUGGGUAGCAGGCUUCAUUCGCAUGUGAACGACCUGGUAAACGAGACCGUUUGUAAAACAAAAGUUCCAAAAAAACACGUGAGGAAAAGAUUGUGAACUUUGACGCUAGUUUCGGAUAGUGAAAGGGAAAGAUUUGAGUUGCAGAUAGAGCCGAACCCAUUCAAAACACAGGCGUUGAGUUUUCUUAUCUCGACUGAGAUUGUCGAGAGCUAGGUUUCAAAACCCUAUCAUCAUAGGGUUUUUUGGUGGAGUGGAUCAGCUGUAAAACCCCGCAUCGAGGAUCCUUACUCGGACGCCGUUCGUCGCGAUCGCAGUGACCUGCAUGUGAUUGCCACGUGUCCCGAAGUUGCUAAGCGUGAACCUUUGGCUUUCUGAACCGGCGUGAACCGCAUCCAAGCUAACGAAUAGCCUCCAAUCGAACACACCGCUUCCACGCUUAUACGAAUUCUGCGUCGAUCGCACCCAAGCAAUCGCCGGUGUCCUUAGCGUCCGCAUUCUGCGACGACUGACAGCAAAAGUGUUUCCUACCGGCCAGAAAGGGUACA